CCUACGGCGGGCAGCAGUGGGGAAUAUUGGACAAUGGGCGAAAGCCUGAUCCAGCCAUGCCGCGUGUGUGAAGAAGGCCUUCGGGUUGUAAAGCACUUUCAGUGGGGAAGAAAGCCUUGGGGCUAAUACCCUCGAGGAAGGACAUCACCCACAGAAGAAGCACCGGCUAACUCCGUGCCAGCAGCCGCGGUAAUACGGAGGGUGCGAGCGUUAAUCGGAAUUACUGGGCGUAAAGCGCGCGUAGGCGGUCUGAUAAGCCGGUUGUGAAAGCCCCGGGCUCAACCUGGGAACGGCAUCCGGAACUGUCAGGCUAGAGUGCAGGAGAGGAAGGUAGAAUUCCCGGUGUAGCAGUGAAAUGCGUAGAGAUCGGGAGGAAUACCAGUGGCGAAGGCGGCCUUCUGGACUGACACUGACGCUGAGGUGCGAAAGCGUGGGUAGCAAACAGGAUUAGAUACCCCAGUAGUC
rnacentral:rRNA from 1 species